CCUACGGGGGGCAGCAGUGAGGAAUAUUGGUCAAUGGACGAGAGUCUGAACCAGCCAAGUAGCGUGAAGGAUGACUGCCCUAUGGGUUGUAAACUUCUUUUAUAUGGGAAUAAAAUGUUCCACGUGUGGGAUUUUGUAUGUACCAUAUGAAUAAGGAUCGGCUAACUCCGUGCCAGCAGCCGCGGUAAUACGGAGGAUCCGAGCGUUAUCCGGAUUUAUUGGGUUUAAAGGGAGCGUAGGUGGAUUGUUAAGUCAGUUGUGAAAGUUUGCGGCGCAACCGUAAAAUUGCAGUUGAAACUGGCAGUCUUGAGUACAGUAGAGGUGGGCGGAAUGCGUGGUGUAGCGGUGAAAUGCUUAGAUAUCACGAAGAACUCCGAUUGCGAAGGCAGUUCACUGUACUGCAACUGACACUGAGGCUCGAAAGUGUGGGUAUCAAACAGGAUUAGAUACCCCUGUAGUC
rnacentral:rRNA from 1 species